rnacentral:rRNA from 1 species
UCGAGGGGUAUAGUAGCAAUACUAGAGACCGGCGCACGGGUGCGUAACGCGUAUGCAAUCUACCUUUUACAGAGGGAUAGCCCAGAGAAAUUUGGAUUAAUACCUCAUAGCAUAGCAGCUUCGCAUGAAGUCACUAUUAAAGUUCCAACGGUAAAAGAUGAGCAUGCGUCCUAUUAGCUAGAUGGUAAGGUAACGGCAUACCAUGGCUACGAUAGGUAGGGGUCCUGAGAGGGAGAUCCCCCACACUGGUACUGAGACACGGACCAGACUCCUACGGGAGGCAGCAGUGAGGAAUAUUGGACAAUGGGCGCAAGCCUGAUCCAGCCAUGCCGCGUGCAGGAAGACGCAUCUAUGGUGUGUAAACUGCUUUUGUACGGGAAGAAACACUCCCUCGUGAGGGAGCUUGACGGUACCGUAAGAAUAAGGAUCGGCUAACUCCGUGCCAGCAGCCGCGGUAAUACGGAGGAUCCAAGCGUUAUCCGGAAUCAUUGGGUUUAAAGGGUCCGUAGGCGGUUUGGUAAGUCAGUGGUGAAAGCCCAUCGCUUAACGAUGGAACGGCCAUUGAUACUGCCAGACUUGAAUUACUAGGAAGUAACUAGAAUAUGUAGUGUAGCGGUGAAAUGCUUAGAUAUUACAUGGAAUACCAAUUGCGAAGGCAGGUUACUACUA